rnacentral:rRNA from 1 species
UGGGGAAUUUUGGACAAUGGGCGAAAGCCUGAUCCAGCAAUGCCGCGUGUGUGAAGAAGGCCUUCGGGUUGUAAAGCACUUUUGUCCGGAAAGAAAUCCUUGGCUCUAAUACAGUCGGGGGAUGACGGUACCGGAAGAAUAAGCACCGGCUAACUACGUGCCAGCAGCCGCGGUAAUACGUAGGGUGCAAGCGUUAAUCGGAAUUACUGGGCGUAAAGCGUGCGCAGGCGGUUUGCUAAGACCGAUGUGAAAUCCCCGGGCUCAACCUGGGAACUGCAUUGGUGACUGGCAGGCUAGAGUAUGGCAGAGGGGGUAGAAUUCCACGUGUAGCAGUGAAAUGCGUAGAGAUGUGGAGGAAUACCGAUGGCGAAGGCAGCCCCCUGGGCCAAUACUGACGCUCAUGCACGAAAGCGUGGGGAGCAAACAGGAUUAGAUACCCUGGUAGUCCACGCCCUAAACGAUGUCAACUAGUUGUUGGGGAUUCAUUUCCUUAGUAACGUAGCUAACGCGUGAAGUUGACCGCCUGGGGAGUACGGUCGCAAGAUUAAACUUAAGGAAUUGACGGGGUCAUAGCUGUUUCCU